rnacentral:rRNA from 1 species
UACAGAGGUCCCCAAGCGUUGUUCGGAUUCACUGGGCGUAAAGGGUGCGUAGGCGGUCGGGUAAGUCUGACGUGAAAUCUCCAAGCUCAACUUGGAAAUGGCGUCGGAUACUAUUCGGCUGGAGGAAUGGAGGGGAGACUGGAAUUCUCGGUGUAGCAGUGAAAUGCGUAGAUAUCGAGAGGAACACCAGUGGCGAAGGCGAGUCUCUGGACAUUUCCUGACGCUGAGGCACGAAAGCCAGGGGAGCAAACGGG